GUAGCGGACCGCCAGUCGGUUUCCUCUCAUCCCCCUUUCCUUCCCCCCCACCCCCCUCCCCUUCCCGGCCGGGGCCGGAUGGUUUCCCGGCUUGCCCUGCGCAGGCGUUGACGUCCGCACAGCUUCGUCCCAGCCUCCGCUGCCGCCAUUGGAGUCAGCGCUUCUUCCGUUCAUCCCCAUCUUGAGGCUCUGGUCGCCGCUUCCUCAGCCCUUUCCUCCUCCUCUUCCUCGUCCUCCAUUGCUGUUUUGCCCCAGCUCCGGGAGCCUGCUGCCGCGAGGAAGAAGCUGCCCGGGCGGAGGGUGGGUGGGAGGGAGGGAGGGACGGGGUGGGGGGUCGGCGGGCAGGCGGGCGGUGAGGAGCGGGAAGUGACAGGGCCCCCCACCCCACCCUAGCCCGGCCGGAGACUGAGCCUCGGGGCCACCCCCGCAGUCCCGACGGGCGCAGGUCCUCAGCGCCGCGCCUCCUUGAGCUGCCCCGCGCGGCACCCGGCCCGACCCUCCGCGCCCCCACCUCUCGGACCCGGGGUGACUCCUUCUCCCUCCCUUUUCCCCUUCCCCUCCCCUCCCCCUUCCCCCUUUCCCACUCCCGGGGCCUAGUUCAUGAAUUAUGUCGGCCACCAGCGUAGACCCUCAGAGAACAAAAGGACAAGAUAAUAAAGUACAAAAUGGUUCGUUGCAUCAAAAGGAUACAGUACAUGACAAUGACUUUGAACCCUACCUUUCUGGACAGUCAAAUCAGUACUUUCAGGUUUACCAAGCCAUCUCCUUACUACAACUCUUUGAGAAUAAUAGCUAUCCCUCAAUGACUGAUCCCUACCUUUCCAGUUACUAUCCACCAUCUAUUGGAUUUCCUUACUCACUCAGUGAAGCACCAUGGUCUACUGGUGGUGAUCCACCUAUUCCAUAUCUCACCACUUAUGGACAGCUUAGUAAUGGAGAUCAUCAUUUCAUGCAUGAUGCUGUUUUUGGACAACCUGGGGGUCUGGGAAACAAUAUCUAUCAACACAGGUUUAAUUUUUUCCCAGAAAACCCUGCAUUUUCAGCAUGGGGAACAAGUGGAUCCCAAGGACAACAGACUCAAAGUUCAGCUUAUGGAAGCAGUUAUAGCUACCCACCCAGUUCUUUGGGUGGUACUAUUGUUGAUGGACAGACAGGAUUUCAUAAUGACACUUUAAAUAAAGCACCUGGAAUGAAUAGCAUUGAGCAGGGAAUGGUUGGACUUAAGAUUGGUGGAGAUGUGACAACAUCUGCAGUUAAAACAGUAGGAUCUGUUAACAGUGCUGUAAUGACUGGUGCUCUUUCUGGUAAUGGUGGAUCAAAUGUAAACUUACCAGUUUCAAAACCAACAUCUUGGGCUGCCAUUGCUAGCAAACCUGCAAAACCACAACCUAAAAUGAAAACAAAAAGUGGACCUAUAAUUGGAGGUGCUUUACCUCCACCACCUAUAAAACAUAAUAUGGACAUUGGUACUUGGGAUAAUAAGGGGCCUGUGAACAAAGCUCCUGCUCCCCAACAGAUUCCAUCACCUCAGUCUCUCCCACAGUCACAACAGCAGAUUGUUCAGCCUAUUCCAACUCAGCCUCCUCCUUUGGCCCAGACACAAUAUCAGAACCCUCAACAACCACCCCCAAACCGCUGGGUAGCCCCUCGAAAUCGAAAUGCAGCUUUUGGACAAAGUGGAGGAACUAGUAGCGAUAGCAAUUCUACUGGAAAUGCCCAAACUAAUUCUGUUCCAAGUGGAGAAUCACACCCUGUCCUUGAAAAACUGAAAGCAGCCCAUAGUUAUAAUCCUAAAGAAUUUGAUUGGAACCUUAAAAAUGGACGUGUGUUCAUAAUAAAGAGCUAUUCUGAGGAUGAUAUUCAUCGUUCCAUUAAAUACUCCAUUUGGUGUAGCACAGAACAUGGAAACAAACGUUUGGACAGUGCUUUCCGUUCUCUGAACAGUAAGGGUCCUGUCUAUUUGCUCUUCAGUGUCAAUGGUAGUGGACAUUUUUGUGGAGUGGCAGAGAUGAAGUCACCUGUGGACUAUGGCACUAGUGCUGGUGUCUGGUCUCAGGACAAAUGGAAGGGGAAAUUUGAUGUCAAGUGGAUCUUUGUCAAGGAUGUGCCCAACAACCAACUUCGACACAUCAGACUGGAGAAUAAUGACAACAAACCAGUAACAAACUCCCGUGACACACAGGAGGUACCCUUAGAAAAAGCCAAACAAGUGCUUAAAAUUAUUUCCACUUACAAGCACACAACCUCCAUCUUUGAUGACUUUUCUCAUUAUGAAAAGCGCCAAGAAGAAGAAGAAGUAGUACGCAAGGAUAAGACUGCAUGGAUGAUCAAAGCUGGGGUCCAUGAGCAAGCAAAGUGACAUGCUGGUGAUGUAGUAUAGUCAUUCAUGUGUGAUUGUCUCCAAUCUUCAGGCUUAAUUUUUCAGGAACGGCAGAAUCGGAACAAACAAUAAGAAUAAAGAUAAACCUAGAACUGUUCACAAACUCAACUCUGAAAAGAAACUUUAAAAAUGCUGGUGCUGUAUCUAGGCAUCAGGACUGACUAAAGCUUUCAGCUCCAAUGUAUCUUCUUCUCAUGCAGGGGAAAUUAAGUUGUUGUAUCUUUAAUUACUUUGUAGCUUUUUUUUUUUUGCCCAGGUGGAUCUGCAUUAAUUUGUUUUAUUUUUUCUAUGUACAAUGCUGUAGAACCCAUUAAUAAAGUUGUAUUUUUUUAAGUCAGCUAUUAAUCAGACUGACCUAAUAAACUAAGAUAAGCAUCCUUAAAAAAAAUGUAAAGGCCUAAUGCUUCCCAAAGAUUAUUAUUGUUUUUAGUUUUGGCAAAAAUUAUGUUCCUUUUCUUAUAUUCACAAUAACCAUAUAUCUAUAAAUAUGAGCCUUCAUAUACUAUCCUCCUUCUAUGGUUUUUUGGCAAACAUAAGAAACCAUGCAUUGUGUUGUCAAGUAAAAUGUUCUAUUAAAAAUACUUUCUCUUAAAAAUACUGAAAUCAAAAGGUAAAUCAAAUCACUUUUGUGUAAUGUUAUGCCAUUUAUUUUGUCUGUGAUUAUACUUCUAAAAAGGCAGGAUUGUCGGUUUGAUUUUCUACUAAAUGGGGAAAAAUCAAAUUUUAAGUUUUCAAAAGCUUUGGAAAAUUGUUUAGAUUUCUUUAGCACAACCAAAAGAAUCCCUUUCAAGUUCUGUUAACCAGAGCUUUUUGAAUGCAUUUGUUAUACCACAUCUUGCAGAGAAUAUUACUUUCUCCAGCCAUAAUUGCUUUAUUGUUCAUAUAGCUUAAUAAUGUGAUGUGAUGCUAUCAACAUGCAGGGUUUUUUGAAAAUGUGUUUUAAACCUGGUUCAUCUUUCAGGUGUUCUUAGUUUACUGCAGAUCAUUUAAAAUUUUUCCCUUAUUCCUUACUCAAGAAUCCUAAUGCCAUUUUAAGUUUUUAUACCAAUAAUGCUGAGCUUUAAUGUAGGAACUAAUAGAAUGGAAAGUAUGAUGGAUUAUGCCUCAAAUGUUUAAAAUUGACAGUGUAUGUCUAAUUUUUUUUCUGUUGGAUGAGUAAAAGAAAAACUUUUAAAAACUCAAGUUUGCUGUCAUGUUUUUGUGGAAUGUGAGGGAACCACUGAAGAACUCACCACCAAGUGGAGUUGGAAUUAAGCAUGAAAAUGGUGCUCAUGGCCUGUUGCUCUAGCCCACUGAAUCUGCACGUGUUUAUUGUAGAGGAUCUUUACUAUUAUAUUAGACAGCAAAUAGCUAAUGGAAAUUAUUUACUCCAAAAGACCCUCUGAUUUAAGAUUUAAACUGUAUCAUUUAGACUUGUAAUUAGAACGUAUAACUUGUCUCGACUAUUACUGCCUGUAUGGAGUAAUGGACAUCAGAUUAACAUUUUUCCUUUAGGAGAACAUAAGCCUUAAUAAACAGUACCUAUUUAGCAA